rnacentral:rRNA from 1 species
GACGAACGCUGGCGGCGUGCUUAACACAUGCAAGUCGAACGGAAAGGCCCUGCUUUUGUGGGGUGCUCGAGUGGCGAACGGGUGAGUAACACGUGAGUAACCGGCCCUUGACUUUGGGAUAACUUCAGGAAACUGGGGCUAAUACCGGAUAGGAUCUCCUGCUGCAUGGUGGGGGGUGGAAAGUUUCGGCUGUUGGGGAUGGACUCGCGGCUUAUCAGCUUGUUGGUGGGGUAGUGGCUUACCAAGGCUUUGACGGGUAGCCGGCCUGAGAGGGUGACCGGCCACAUUAGGACUGAGGUACGGCCCAGACUCCUACGGGAGGCAGCAGUGGGAAAUAUUGCCCAAUGGGCGGAAGCCUGAUGCAGAAGCGCCGCGUGCGGGAUGACGGCCUGCGGGUUGUAAACCGCUUUCGCCUGUGACGACGCGUGAGUGACGGUAAUGGGUAAAGAAGCACCGGCUAACUACGUG